rnacentral:rRNA from 1 species
GAUGAACGCUGGCGGCGUGCCUAAUACAUGCAAGUCGAGCGAAUCGUGGACAGGUGAGUAACACGUGUAUUACCUCCUAUAUGACUGGGAUAACUUCGUGAAACCGGAGCUAUAUCGGAUACUUAUAGUUUGAUCCGCGCUGCAUUUGCUAUUUGGUAAGGUAACGGCUUACCAAGGCACCGAUGCAUCGCCGACCUGAGAGGGUGAUCGGCCACACUGGAACGGAGACACGGCCCAGAUUCUUAGGGGAGGAAGCAGUAGGGAAUCUUCCGCAAUGGGCGAAAGCCUGACGGAGCAACGCCGCGGGAGUGAGGAAGGUCUUCGGAUCGUAACACUCGGUUAUUAGGAAAGCGGUACCUAAUCAGAAAGCCACGGCUAACUACGUGCCAGCAGCCGCGGUAAUUC